UUGACCUCAGAUCAGG
rnacentral:rRNA from 2 species